ensembl:lncRNA
CUGUUCACAUCUGGGGGACUCAGGCGUAAACAAUCGAUCCUGGCCAAAAUCGAACCAACGCCCAGCCAAUCACGUGGCGCUCCUCCGGUCAUGUGACGCAGACGGUUCACCUCACAAGACCGGGGUCAACCACGGCUACCAGCAUGAACGACGGCGCUUCAAUGCACAAUGAGGGACGUCUGCAGCGACUGAGAAAGAGUCUCACCACAUCCUGACAUGAGGAAAAAGACUUUAUUGAAGACUACAAUGAGAAAAACUAUCAGACAGCAGACGGCUGCAUUCAAGUCUGUAGCUGCUGAAUUCAUGGAUGAAUCAUCUGGCACUAGAGAGGAAGACCAUCAAACGUCCACGUCAGCUGAUGGAGGCCCAAGAGUCUCACCAAACAAACAACCUACAGAGUGAAGACCUCCAAUCUUGAUUGGACAGCCUCCUAUUCAGCCACAUGUGUGAACAAAUGCCUCUAAGCUGAUUUGUUUUCUAAAAUAAAUCUAGUUUGACUCCUAAUCUAUGCCUGUGUGUUUGCAUCUUUACACCGCUGUUAACAGUUUAGGCUGUUAGAUUGUUCCAGAUAAGACAAGUACAAGAUUCUUCAGAGCCGUUCUACCAUGAGCCUGACAGGAAGAAC